rnacentral:misc_RNA from 1 species
AACGCACAUUGCGCCCUCUGGUAUUCCGGAGGGCAUGCCUGUUCGAGCGUCAUUUCAACCCUCAAGCCCUGCUUGGUGUUGGGGCACUGCUUUACCCACAAGCAGGCCCUGAAAUAUAGUGGCGAGCUCGCCAGGACUCCGAGCGUAGUAAUUGUUCUCGCUUUGGAAGGCCUGGCGGUGCCCUGCCGUUAAACCCCAACUUUUGAAAAUUUGACCUCGGAUCAGGUAGGAAUACCCGCUGAACUUAA